GGAGGGAUCAUUACCGAGUUUACAACUCCCAAACCCCUGUGAACAUACCACUUGUUGCCUCGGCGGAUCAGCCCGCUCCCGGUAAAACGGGACGGCCCGCCAGAGGACCCCUAAACUCUGUUUCUAUAUGUAACUUCUGAGUAAAACCAUAAAUAAAUCAAAACUUUCAACAACGGAUCUCUUGGUUCUGGCAUCGAUGAAGAACGCAGCAAAAUGCGAUAAGUAAUGUGAAUUGCAGAAUUCAGUGAAUCAUCGAAUCUUUGAACGCACAUUGCGCCCGCCAGUAUUCUGGCGGGCAUGCCUGUUCGAGCGUCAUUUCAACCCUCAAGCACAGCUUGGUGUUGGGACUCGCGUUAAUUCGCGUUCCUCAAAUUGAUUGGCGGUCACGUCGAGCUUCCAUAGCGUAGUAGUAAAACCCUCGUUACUGGUAAUCGUCGCGGCCACGCCGUUAAACCCCAACUUCUGAAUGUUGACCUCGGAUCAGGUAGGAAUACCCGCUGAACUUAAGCAUAUC
rnacentral:rRNA from 1 species